rnacentral:snRNA from 1 species
AUCUGGGAUUCUUCUCCCA